rnacentral:rRNA from 1 species
CUACGUGCCAGCAGCCGCGGUAAUACGUAGGGUGCAAGCGUUAAUCGGAAUUACUGGGCGUAAAGCGAGCGCAGACGGUUACUUAAGCAAGAUGUGAAAUCCCCGAGCUCAACUUGGGAACUGCGUUUUGAACUGGGUAGCUAGAGUGUGUCAGAGGGGGGUAGAAUUCCACGUGUAGCAGUGAAAUGCGUAGAGAUGUGGAGGAAUACCGAUGGCGAAGGCAGCCCCCUGGGAUAGCACUGACGUUCAUGCUCGAAAGCGUGGGUAGCAAACAGGAUUAGAUACCCUGGUAGUCCACGCCCUAAACGAUGUCAAUUAGCUGUUGGGCAACUUGAUUGCUUAGUAGCGUAGCUAACGCGUGAAAUUGACCGCCUGGGGAGUACGGUCGCAAGAUUAAAACUCAAAGGAAUUGACGGGGACCCGCACAAGCGGUGGAUGAUGUGGAUUAAUUCGAUGCAACGCGAAGAACCUUACCUGGUCUUGACAU